rnacentral:lncRNA from 1 species
UUUAGUUAUUUUUUAUUUAAUUUUCUAAAUCGUUAUUUAUUUUUCUCACUUUUUUUUAAUUUAUGAGUUUUUUGUUUAAUUUUUCGAUUUUUAUUAAUUUUUUUGUUUAUUUAUUAAUUAAAUAAUUAUUUUUUGAAAAAAAAAUUGUUUUUAACCUGUUCAGCAGGUCAUUUUUCUUCUUUGGAGGUUUUUUAUGAUAAAAAUGUCACUUUGAAGGUUAAAAGUGAUAGUGAAAAAAGUUCAAGGUUUAAAGUGCUAGUAAGUGACACUUUCAAGGUUUUUUAUGCGAUUUUCC